AUUGAACGCUGGCGGAAUGCUUUACACAUGCAAGUCGAGCGGCAGCGCGGGGGCAACCCUGGCGGCGAGCGGCGAACGGGUGAGUAAUGCAUCGGAACAUGUCCGGUUGUGGGGGAUAACCUGGCGAAAGCCAGGCUAAUACCGCAUGAGCUCGAGAGAGGAAAGCGGGGGACCGUAAGGCCUCGCGCGACCGGGUUGGCCGAUGUCCGAUUAGCUAGUUGGUGGGGUAAAGGCACCUAAGGCGAUGAUCGGUAGCUGGUCUGAGAGGAUGAUCAGCCACACUGGGACUGAGACACGGCCCAGA
rnacentral:rRNA from 1 species